rnacentral:rRNA from 1 species
AAGGAAUAUUGGUCAAUGGACGCAAGUCUGAACCAGCCAUGCCGCGUGAAGGAUGAAGGUCCUCUGGAUUGUAAACUUCUUUUAUCUGGGACGAAAACGGGAUUUUUAUCUCAAUUGACGGUACCAGAGGAAUACGCACCGGCUAACUCCGUGCCAGCAGCCGCGGUCAUACGGAGGGUGCAAGCGUUAUCCGGAUUUACUGGGUUUAAAGGGUGCGUAGGCGGAUGAAUAAGUCAGUGGUGAAAUCUCCGAGCUUAGCUCGGAAACUGCCGUUGAUACUAUUUGUCGUGAAUAUUGUGGGGGUAAGCGGAAUAUGUCAUGUAGCGGUGAAAUGCUUAGAUAUGACAUAGAACACCAAUUGCGAAGGCAGCUUGCUACACAAUCAUUGACGCUGAGGCACGAAAGCG